UCGACCUCAGAUCAGGUAGG
rnacentral:rRNA from 1 species